CGAACGCGCACCCGCCCCGCGCGCACCCGCCUCUCCCGGCCGUCGCCCUUCCGCGAGCCGCGCCGCCCUCCAGCAGGGCCUGCCCCCACUGGCAGCAGACAAAAGGCCAUUUCUGAGUUACACAGAAAAUGUGUUACUUUGCCAGAGGGCCGGGUAGAGGCCGCCAGGCCCGAUCGUGGGCCGCGCGGAGCGACGGCAGAGGGGGGCUGUCAGUCACCGCGCACCCUCCGUGAAAGGGGCCCCUUGUCAACUUCCCCUGCCUUUGAAGUGACUGGGAUGGAGGUGCUCAAUUAAAAGCCCAUCAGUCUGGUCAGGGCACCGUAAAUCCUGUACUGGAUUGCAGCCACCUGGAUCGGGAUGAAAGCACUGGCGCGGCCUGCGGGGCGCACCCAGGCCUUUCCACCGUGGCCCCCGGAGCGCGGACGGGGCGGCGCCGCGGGACCCGCGCCCGACGGACGCACAAAGACCUAGACGCAGACAGCAGCCCAAGGAGACAGAGUGCGCAGAGGUGGGGAGACAGGGCCUGAGAAAAUAGUCCGAAACGGAGAUGACUGGAAGAAGAGGCCCAAAGUGGUGGAGACAGGUGCCAUGAAAACUCACCCAGAGUGUUAAGAACGGAUAGAUGCUUCUAGAAGACAAGGAGGUGUCUGGAUGAUAUUUCUCAGACGCUGGGGUUUGAGUCUCAGAGUCAGAGAGCGAGGGCGGUUUAGGCUGCAGUUUCCGCAGCCCCCCGCCUGUUCCCACUGUCUGCCCUCAAAUGUCACUUAGCCAAGGGAAUGGUGUGGGGAGGACACAGAAGCUCGGGGCUUUGCUAAGCCAGCCUUGUAUGGGACAUCAAAAUAGGUGAUGUCCAGAACUCGGUCUUCUGCAAUAAAAUGAUAUGAACAGACAAGCUGGACCAGAGUGUCAGGUUCUGAUAAUUCUGCUGAGCAAAUCCCUAAGAAACACUUGGUCCCGGCGCCUUUCUCCUAGAUUCUGGGGGUGGUUUUGUGGAUUCUUCCUGCUUCUGAGAGCAAGCUCUGGCUUUACCCCUACUGCAGACCAAAAAGAAAGGCGGGGUAGGGAGCAGAGGAGACAAGACAGCUGUAUUUUGGGCUGGAAGGAGGAGCUGAGUGGGGAACAAGGUCCAGCUAACAGCUGGAAGAGAGGAACAAGGCCUGCUUUUCAAGGGAGGGAAGAACAGUCUUUCCUCAAAUGGCUGUUCAGAGCUGCCCCAAGGCAUAGCUUCCCCUGACUUUUGAUGUUGCAUAUGUAAAAAGGGCCCUCACAUGCUUUCCCCAUCGAUAGAAUAAUACACCAAAGGAAUCAAGAGGUGGAUGUGGAGCAGGAGCGACGGCAGAGGGAACUUCCUCCCAGACCCUAUGGUGGAGCUUGAUGCCCAGGCUCCCGGGCUUAACUAGACAAAGAAAGAAAAUUCUAAAGAAUGAAGCUGGACCUCUAUCUUACACCAUACACAAAGGUCAACUCAAAAUGGAUUAAAGACCUAAAUGUAAGACCUGAAACCUUAAAACUCCUUAAGAAAACACAGGGAGUAAGCUCCAUGACUCUGGUCUCGGCGAUGAUUUUUUGAUUUGACACCGAAAGCAAAGGGAAUAAAAGCUAAAAUAAGCAAGUGGGACUCCAUCAAACUAAAAAGCUUCUGCACAGUAAAGGGAACUGCCAGUCAAAUGAAAGGGCAACCUGUGGAAUGGGAGAAGAUAUUUGCAAAUCAUAUAAGGGGUUAGUAUUCAAGAUAUAUAAAGAAUUCAUACAACUCAAUCACAGAACCUCCCCCCUCCCCACAACAAGCAGAACAAAACCACCACCACUAAUAAAAACCUCUAAACCAUCCAAUUAACUGUGGAGGUUCCUCAAAAAUUAAAAAUUGAGCUGCCAGAUGAUCCAGCAAUUCCACUUCUGGGUACAGAUGCAAAAGAAAAACAACAACAACAGGAUCUCCAAAAAACCCAAAAAAUCUGCAUUCUCAUAUUCAUUGCGGCCUUAUUCACAGUAGCCAAGAUGUGGAAACCAGUGACCAUCAAUGGGUGAGUGGAUAAAGAAGAUGUGGUGUAUAUAUGUACAAUGGAAUAUGAUUGAGCCACAAGAAAGAAGGAGGUCCUGCCGUUUGGGACAGCGUGGAUAGACCUUGAGGGCAUUAUACUAAAUGAAAUAAAUCAGAGAAGACAAAUAAUGUUUCAUAACCAUGUAUAGGUGGAAUCUAAAAAAGGUUGAGUUCCUAAAAACAGAAUGGUGGUAACCAGGUGCUGGGGAGCUGGAGGAAUUAGGGAGACGUUGGUCAAAGAGUAUAAACUUCAGGUUAUAAGAUGGACACGUUUCAAGGAUCAAAUUUAUAGCACAUUAAAACGCCGUUAGUUAACUGUUGUUAAUACAGUUAAUUAAAAUGCUGUAUCGUAUAUUUGAACUUUGCUAUGAGCGUGAUCUUACAUGGUCUCCCCACAAAAAAUAUAUAGCAGUUAUGUGAUAAGGUGGAGGGGUUAGCUCACACUAUGGUGGUAAAUGUUGCAUUUUGCAGUAUAUAAGUCUAUCACCUUAAACUUAUACAAUGUGGUAUGCUAAUUAUAUCUCAAUCAAGCUGGAAAACAAACCCAAUUCUCAAAGAUACUCAAGGCAUUUACAAGCUUUCCCCAAGCCUGCCUGAUAAGAACUGCCCACUGCACUUCCUGAAGACAGGCCACCUCCAUCACUGCACAUGGUUGGGCCAGUGUGCCAGGUUUUCUCUCAGGUCAGCUACCCCUCACUCUGUUGUAAACUCAUUCAUUCCAUCACCAAGACCCAGCAGUGCAGCAGUAUAUUCCGUAUUCCUCUGAGCUGAUAGACAUGUCGACCCACCCAGAGUGUCAGUGAGACCUUUCCCAGAGAUGGGGAAUGGUAUACAGAUACUUUACAAUGUGGGAGAAUCGUCUGUCCUUCAUACUUUCAUCCAUUCAAUCAAAAUUUGGUGGUUAGUAUUUGCCAAUUUACAGGUAUUUAGUAUUUAGAGUUUACAGGUUCCUCUCUAAGCCCUGGGGACACAGCAGUGAAUAUGAUGGACAAGGUCAAGAGAUACACAGAAGCUUUAACAAGGAACUGGGGUGUUUGAACUAAUCUUUAUUUAUAUGUUAUGUAUACACUUAUUACACAGAUUUUUGCUAAGCACCUACUAUGUCUGAGUAGCACGCACCACAAGGAGGCGAGGAAGAAUCAGAAACAAAUCCUAUCCUCCCAGAGGAGAGGUGAGGCACACAUCUUGAAUAGAUUAGAUGCAUUGUUUAAAGUGGUAGGUGCCAUAAGCCAGGAAAGGACAGGAGAGAAUUCAGAAAGGAAAGAUAAUUUAUCCAGGUUGCCUCUUUCUUAGUGGAGGUCUGGAAUUAAGAAACACGUUAACUGUUCAAUGAUGGCAACUUUAAAAUCUAUUCUGUAAUGUAGCACAGUGCGGGCUUAAUGUUUAUUGUUAUUGUUAUUGGCUUUAAUGACAUUGUAAUUCAUUGUCUUUGUAAUUAUGGACACAUCACAACACCCCUCCCUAUGAGGCAGGUGUUAUAGAACUCUGGAACUCCAUUUCAGGUCUUGUCGGGAGUUGGGUAUGGUUGAGAACUUCCAGAAAUCAGAGACGGGCGCCUCUUACAAGAGGCAGAGCAGUGCAGAGGUUAAAGGAAUAGGCUCUGAAACCUGAGGGCAGUUCAAAACCAGCCUUCACAUGCUGGCCCUUCGGCCUGCCUGCUGUGAGGCCAUCGGCAAAGCACCGGAACUCCCUGUGUGUGUUUCCCCGUCUGUUACAUUGGGGUGAUAACAGUACCGGCUUCACAGGGUUAUGUGACAAUUAGAUGCAUACAAAGCAUUCACAACAGUGCCCAACUGAGAGUGUAUAUUCUCAGUAAUGCCUGCCAUUCUUACUGUUCUACCUCAUACAAGGUGAUCUCUUGAAGGUACAACCAGCACAAUGCUAGGAGGACACUUGUUAUAUUAAUGCAUUGUCUUUCUGUAUUUAAGUACCACUGAAAGUCAUUUAUAUUAAUUUCACUUUAGAAAAUCUGAGUUCAGGGGCACCUGGGUGGCUCAGUCAGUUAAGCAUCCGGCCUUGGCUCAGGUCAUGAUCUCAUGGUUCAUGGGUUUGAGCCCAUGUCGGGCUCUGUGCUGACAGCUCAGAGCCUGGAGCCUGCUUCGGAUUCUGUCUCUCCCCCUCUCUCUGCCCCUCCCCUGCUCACACUCUGUCUCUCUCUCUCAAAAAUAAACAUUAAGAAAUAAUUUAAAAAAAAAGAAAAUCUUUUGAGUUCAGCACAUGAAUUUAGGAUACUUGUGGAGUGCCUGUGUGGCUCAGUCCGUUAAGCGUUCGACUUCAGCUCAGGUCAUGAUCUUACGGUUCAUGAGUUCAAGCCCCACAUAGAGCUUUCUGCUGUCCAUGAGGAUCCCACUUAGGAUCCUCUGCCCCUCCCCCACUCUCUCUCAAAAGUAAAUAAACAUUUAGGGAAAAAAAGUAAAAUAUUUGAAUAAUUUGUUUUUACUAAAAUAAUUUUUAUUCAUAUCUAAUGUAAUAUUUGAUACAAAAGAGUAUUUGUGUACAUCAUGAAUGUAAACUUACAGUAUCUGUGUACUUUUUUCCUAUCCCACCCCAUGGCCUCUCCUUCAAAGUGGCCACUAUCCUGAAUUUUGUGUUUGUUAUCCCUUUGUUUUUUAAAGAAACUAAAAAAAAUUAAAGUAUAAUAUAAAUCAUAGUAAAACACACAAAUCUUAAGUGUAUAGCUUGACUGAUUUUUACAAAGCAUACACUUAUGUAACCACACCUAGAUCAAGAUAUGGCACUCUAGAUAUGGUACUCUAGAAGCUUCCCUCAUUGUCCCUUCCCAGUCAAUUCUUUGCCCAGUCCCAUUGCAAAGUAACCACUGUUCUGACUUCCAUCACUAUAGAUUAGUUUUGGAAUUAUUAAUUAUGUAUUCCUGUGUCUGCUUUCUUUUAGUCAGCAUUAUAUUUGUAAGGUUCAUCCAUGAUAUUAUAUGCCUUAGUAGUUCAUUUCGUUUUCAUGGUUGAGUGGUAUCCCAUUGUACGAAUAAAACACACAAUUUAUUCAUUCA